UACGUAGGGUGCGAGCGUUGUCCGGAAUUAUUGGGCGUAAAGAGCUCGUAGGCGGUCUGUCGCGUCUGCCGUGAAAGUCCGGGGCUCAACUCCGGAUCUGCGGUGGGUACGGGCAGACUAGAGUGAUGUAGGGGAGACUGGAAUUCCUGGUGUAGCGGUGAAAUGCGCAGAUAUCAGGAGGAACACCGAUGGCGAAGGCAGGUCUCUGGGCAUUAACCGACGCUGAGGAGCGAAAGCAUGGGGAGCGAACAGG
rnacentral:rRNA from 1 species